ensembl:miRNA Gm22231 predicted gene, 22231
GGGUGUGUGUGUGUGUUCUCACAUGCAUGUGCAUGUGCAUGCUCACAGGUGCACGCCUG